AUCAAAUACAUCAAAGUGACCAUACCUCCAAGUGAAGAAGACUAGAGGAAAAGAUUUUUGACGAAACGGGAAGUGAGCUUGGAUAGGCUUAAAAAGCUCAAAAGGUACCGACGACAGGUUUGCCGAUCCGUCUGUCUAGGAUAUAUUUUCUGCCAUUUGGAGCGCUCUUUUAUUCAGAUCCUUCUUUUGGUACAGUCUGUCACUUCUAUAUAUGUAUAUUCUCGUUCAUGGGUACGGCGGGGCCCUGUCCCGCCAUAUGAUUCUGUUGGUCUGUUUAGAGGUCUGUAGACAUGUUUGUGGGUUGGGGUCUUUCUGUACAGAUGUGUGUAUAUGUUGUGUUUGGGAGAUCCCAUUCGCCACGGCGGCCGGUCCGCAUAUGUUUAAAUGCUGCUUUGUUGGCCCUGUGUGGCCUUUGUUGGUAUUUUCUGUGUGCAGGGUAUAUUGGAUAGUCUGUAAAACAAAGGAAACUCUGCCGAAAUUUU